UGCUUUGUCAUUAACAAACUAAACCAGCCCAAUCCCGUCUGAUCUCAGAAGCUAGGAAGGGUCGGGCCUGGUUAGUACUUGGAUGGGAGACCACCUAGAAAGACCAGGUGCUAUAGGCG
rnacentral:rRNA from 1 species